GAUGAACGCUGGCGGCGUGCUUAACACAUGCAAGUCGAACGGAAAGGCCAGUGCUUGCACUGGUGCUCGAGUGGCGAACGGGUGAGUAACACGUGGGUGAUCUGCCCUGCACUUUGGGAUAAGCCUGGGAAACUGGGUCUAAUACCAGAUAGGACCAUGCUUUGGAUGGUGUGGUGGAAAGUUUUUUCGGUGUGGGAUGAGCUUGCGGCCUAUCAGCUUGUUGGUGGGGUAAUGGCCUACCAAGGCGUCGACGGGUAGCCGGCCUGAGAGGGUGUACGGCCACAUUGGGACUGAGAUACGGCCCAGACUCCACGGGAGGCAGCAGUGGGGAAUAUUGCACAAUGGGCGCAAGCCUGAUGCAGCGACGCCGCGUGGGGGAUGACGGCCUUCGGGUUGUAAACUCCUUUCGCAACUGACGAAGCUUUUUGUGGCGGUAGGUUGAGAAGAAGCACCGGCUAACUACGUG
rnacentral:rRNA from 1 species